rnacentral:lncRNA from 1 species
CAGACUGCUGCCAUGCCGGCUGGCUAGGUCGCUCUGGGAAAGUGUAAAAGGUGACUUGAAAAAUCACAGUAGGAAAACUCGCUUCUGUAAGCAGGAAGGCUCAGGAUGGUGAGUGAUCUUCAAAGGCAAGGACUGGGAAAAUGAACAGAUAUCAAGAUCCCAGAAGUAGCUGAUGCAAAAAUCACAUCUCCCAACCAAAGAAGACAAGAGAGCUUCUGCUCAGGAGUCACCAGACAAGUCAUUGGAAUCUGUACAGCACUGGAUUCUCUUGAGCACCUAUAAAUUUUCGUAACAUCAGCUCCAAUAAGUGAGUUGCAUCAGAGACUUCUGGGAAGACAGUGAAGCACCAAGGAAAUUUCUGCAUGCCUUUGCAUACUAACACUUGAGAUGCUUAUCUGAGACUUGAAUUUCCAGUUUCUAUAUUUUUUAUGUACUCACUCAUGAACAAGUUCAGUCUACUCAUUCCAUCUUUUAAACCUCCAUAGUUUUUGAAUUCCUAUUGUCCCAUUGGUCACUAAAAAUAUCUGGUUUCUGAGUCCCUGCUUAAGCUUGUGAUCACCACGGGAAGACCUCUGUCUGGAGCACAGCCAUCCAACUGUCAGUUUACACAAAUCUCCAUCACUUAUGACUCCACUCCUCCCACCUUUUUUUUUUUUAUUUUUGAGGCAGGGUUUCUCUGUGGCUUUUCAGGCUGUCCUGGAACUAGUUCUUGUAGGCUGGUCUCAAACUCAGAAAAUCAUCUGCCUGUCUUUGCCUCCCGAGUGCUGGGAUUACAGGCCUGCACUACCAGCUUCCCCAUUUUUUCUUUUCAUAAUUUCAAAUGGAGUUCUCAUGUUACCCAGGCUGGCUUCAAACUCACCAUGAAAUUUACCUUGAGCCCUGCCUGAUCCCCCUGUCUGUGUUUCUCACUUGCUGGGAUUAUAGGUGUGUGCCAUGGUACCAGAUGUUCUUCUUUCUUCUUGUUGAGUUAGAUUUGCUACAGUACUAAAAAGGAGAAAUGCUGUGGAAUAAUCCUUUUGUACAUUCUAAAGAUUUGUCACUCGGAUUGACUUAAUAAAAAGCUGACUGGUCAGCUUCUAGGCAGGAUGUAUAGGACGGAGAGCCAGACACAGAAGAUGCUGGGAAGAGGGGCAGAGUCAGAAGAGUUGUCAGCUAGAUAGAGAGGAAACAAGACAUGCCUGAGAGGUAAAUGCCACAAGCCUCAUGGCAGAAUGUGAAUUAGUAGAAAUGGGUUUAUUUAAGUUGUAAGAGAUAGUUAGUAAUAAGCCCAAGCAAUUGGCUAAGCAAUUAUAAUUAAUAUUAAGCCUCCAUGUCUGUUAUUUGGGAACUGGCAGGUGGGAAAGAAAUGUCUGCUAACAUAUUGAUGUCUUAUUGAUACUCCCUUAUCUCACAGCAUAAACUUCAGAAAAUGGCAUUGUG